rnacentral:sRNA from 1 species
GGUUGGGCGGAGGCGGAGCAGGCGCCAUGUCAGCCCGGGAAGUGGCCGUGCUGCUGUUGUGGCUGAGCUGCUGUGGGUCGGCCGUUUGGAGGUAUUCCACUAACAGCCCAAACUAUCGCAUUUUUAGUACCAGAAGUACUAUUAAGUUAGAGUAUGAAGGAACAUUAUUUACUGAGUGGAGUGUGCCAGAAACUUGUUUUGUGCUAAAUAAAAGCUCACCCACGACAGUAUUGCGUUGUUCCUCACCUGGUGUUCAUGCUAUAAAACCAAUUGUUACCGGCCCAGAUGAAGAAGAACGCUAUUUAUUUGUGGAAAGUUCUCAUACUUGCUUUCUGUGGUACUAUAGAGUUAGCUUAUCACUGUGUGGGCAUAUGAUCCAGAAAGUGCAGAUCCUGAUGAGUUGCUCGGGAAUGCAGAAGAACCUUCAAUAGACCUGGCGUAUUGUAGUACCAAUGACAAAAGAUGAUGCACUAAAGGAGAUUAGAGGAAACCAAGUUACUUUUCAAGAUUGCUUUAUUGCAGAUUUUCUUAUUCUGUUGACUUUUCCUUUGUCGACCAUACCUGAAAUUCCUGGUUAUUUACCA